AUGGUGGGCACGUCUAAGGAGACUGCCGGUGACAAACCGGAGGAAGGUGGGGAUGACGUCAAGUCAUCAUGGCCCUUACGGCCUGGGCUACACACGUGCUACAAUGGUCGGUACAAAGGGUUGCCAAGCCGCGAGGUGGAGCUAAUCCCAUAAAACCGAUCGUAGUCCGGAUCGCAGUCUGCAACUCGACUGCGUGAAGUCGGAAUCGCUAGUAAUCGUGAAAUCAGAAUGUCACGGUGAAUACGUUCCCGGGCCUU
rnacentral:rRNA from 1 species